CUGGCUCCUGCCUCUGGGCUGCUGCCUCCUGGCUCCUGGCACCUUGCCUGCUCCUGUGCGUCAUCGUCGAGCUUGCCAGAGAUCAGACCCGCCCGACCCGGUCGAAGAAAUGCCAGUGCCAGGAUGCGUUGUAUUUUACAUGAAUUUCCAAUGUGUGCGCCUUGUAUGAUAAAUGGCAUUAAAGGAUUUGCGUGAAUAACUCAGUUAGGACUUACACUUUUCCAUCUGCCAAAUAGUUCGCCCAACGAGUGCUAUCCACACAAAUGCCAAACAGAACACGCGUUCGGUGGGUCGAUAGGGAUAGGACCUGAACACCCCCGAGCAUGCUGCACCGUGCUGGAUAGUGGAAUAGUGGAAUGGCUAAUACAUCUGAACAGAUACAACAUAUCUCGCAUAGGAAUAUAAAUAAAUCAAUAAAGAGAUACGAUGAGAUAGGAUAUGACCAAUGGUUGACAGGGGAAUUCGGGACCUUAGACCUCUUCUUCGCACUUAAGAUUGUCGACAGUUUUUUAAAUGUAAAUUAAUUUGAG